rnacentral:rRNA from 1 species
AGCAGCCGCGGUAAUUCCAGCUCCAAUAGCGUAUAUUAAAGUUGUUGCAGUUAAAAAGCUCGUAGUUGAAUUUCGGGAUCAGCAGGUUGGUCGUGCCUCUGGUAUGCACUGGUUUCGCUGAUUCCUCCUUUCUGAAGAACUGUAAUGUCAUUAAUUUGGUGUUGCAGGGAAACAGGACUGUUACUUUGAAAAAAUUAGAGUGUUUAAAGCAGGCUAACGCUUGAAUACAUUAGCAUGGAAUAAUGAAAUAGGACGUUUGAUCCUAUUUUGUUGGUUUCUAGGAUUGACGUAAUGAUUAAUAGGGAUAGUUGGGGGCAUUAGUAUUCAAUUGUCAGAGGUGAAAUUCUUGGAUUUAUUGAAGACUAACUACUGCGAAAGCAUUUGCCAAGGAUGUUUUCAUUAAUCAAGAACGAAAGUUAGGGGAUCGAAGACGAUCAGAUACCGUCGUAGUCUUAACCAUAAACUAUGCCGACUAGGGAUCAGGGUGAUGUUAAUUUUUUAAUGACUCA